ACUCCUACGGGAGGCAGCAGUGGGGAAUUUUGGACAAUGGGCGCAAGCCUGAUCCAGCAAUGCCGCGUGAGUGAAGAAGGCCUUCGGGUUGUAAAGCUCUUUCAGCCGAGAAGAAAAAGCCUGUGACUAAUAAUCAUGGUUCAUGACGGUAUCAACAGAAGAAGCACCGGCUAACUACGUGCCAGCAGCCGCGGUAAU
rnacentral:rRNA from 1 species